rnacentral:tRNA from 1 species
GUUUUAAUAAUUUAAAUAAAAAUAUUGGUUUUGUAAACCAAACUUAGAUUUUAAUCUUUAAAACA